GUUCUUUCUGAGAAUCUUUAGAAAGAAUCUAAAUUCUUUCUGAGAGUCUCUAAUGCACUAAUGAUGACAGGGGCCUGGUUGUCACACACAGGAAGGUUCACAUUUUGAUCUCUGGGGUAGGCUUCGCCUAUUCUGAGACAAGUCAGAUCUUCAUAUAUAGAGAGUGGAUCAAGGAACAGCCUAUAAGGAAUGAACAAAAAGCAAACUUCAGAGGCUCGUAGAGUCCGCAGGAGGAAAAGCGGCUCAGUGUCAUUUCAGAUCAACAACUAGGCCUGAGCAUUUACUCCAUUCUGGGCACUUGGUCUUUAGUCAGCAGGGAAGAAGGAAUUUUAUGUGCACGGAUCAGGGGCAGGAAAGUCUGAACAGUGUUCAUUUGGUGAAGAAUUAGAAUGAGUGUGACACGGUAUUUUCCUCCCCUGAUGACUAUAGCAAUGGAGACCACACUGGCCAAAGAACCAUGGGGUUAUAGUGGCUGUGCUGACUCAGGUAGAUGUGAAACCCAACUCAUCCACCAAAACUGGCUCAAUGAAUACAUCCUGGACUGGGCACUUGGAGGCCAGAUGACUGCAAGCUUUCCUCCAACUGCAUCCAUGAACUCAGGAAGCAGGAGCUGUGUAACAUGUAUGUUCUAAGAAAGAUGCUCUCAUCCACAUCUCUGAAGCUCAGCAAUAAAGUGCAUCAAUGGCCUGGGGAUGUGGCUAUUCAUUUUCUGCUGUGUCCACCUUGGGCAGCUCCUUUUAUUUUGGUGCUGAGGCCUGUGGAUGCGUUCCACCCCUGGGUCUCCUCACCAUGGUCCAGCAGCCCCUUUUCUCUUCUGCAUGUUGGUUGACACGCAAAAGGUUUAGUUUAAGUGCAGAUUCCAGCCACUCCUAUUAGAGUUCACUGUUGCUUGGGGCUGAGGUUUCAGCUGGGGGCCUACAUCUCUGUAAUCCCCAUCUAGAGAGAUGCUGGAGAGGCUGAGAUGGGGAGUGAGCAGCAGAACAAGGUUCUGCCCCAGCCACUACCAGCAGAGUGUCACCCAUUCAUUGUCACUCUUCCCUG
rnacentral:lncRNA from 1 species